ensembl:lncRNA
CUUUCACUCACUCAGUCACAAUAGUAAAAGAUGUUUACCAUUUUUCACAGUCAAUAGCCAAAGAAAAAAUAAAAGAAAUGACAGAAGACAGGCCCUCUGGGAUUCAUGAGCCUCUGCUGGGAUUUUCACGCCAGCCGCCAUGUUAACAUGAAGCAACAGCUGGGUUGAAGAGAGCUGAUAAAAAUAGCAACAUCAGCCCUGCGAGCAAGCUGCAUGGAAGGAGGGGAUGAAGUAUUGAAUGCAGGGCAUAUGAGGAAAGUGAUGUUCAAAGACGUUAUGGAACUUGUCUGAGCCGCCAUAGCUGAACGGGCUUUGAAACUGGGUUCCUGCCUGCAGACUGGGUAUUACAGCCAUUCAUAUGAGUGUGCAUUUGCUACCUAAACUGUUACGGG